rnacentral:rRNA from 1 species
AGUGGGUGUAGCGUACCUACUAGCCUACGACGGGUACGGGUUGUGAGAGCAAGAGCCUGGAGAUGGAUUCUGAGACACGAAUCCAGGCCCUACGGGGUGCAGCAGGCGCGAAAACUUUACAAUGCUGGCAACAGCGAUAAGGGAACCUCGAGUGCCAGGUUACAAAUCUGGCUGUCGAGAUGCCUAAAAAGCAUUUCAUAGCAAGGGCCGGGCAAGACCGGUGCCAGCCGCCGCGGUAACACCGGCGGCUCGAGUGGUAACCGUUAUUAUUGGGUCUAAAGGGUCUGUAGCCGGCCGGAUAAGUCUCUUGGGAAAUCUGGCAGCUCAACUGUCAGGCUAUCAGGAGAUACUGUCUGGCUCGAGGCCGGGAGAGGUGAGAGGUACUUCAGGGGUAGGGGUGAAAUCUUGUAAUCCUUGAAGGACCACCAGUGGCGAAGGCGUCUCACCAGAACGGAUCCGACGGUAAGGGACGAAAGCUAGGGGCACGAACCGGAUUAGAU